GGAUUAGAUACCCGGGUAGUCCACGCCGUAAACGAUGAUCACUAGACGUUGACUCUGCUUGCAGGGCCAGUGUCGCAGCUAACGCGAUAAGUGAUCCGCCUGGGGAGUACGGUCGCAAGACUAAAACUCAAAGGAAUUGACGGGGGCCCGCACAAGCGGUGGAACAUGUGGUUUAAUUCGACACUACGCGAGGAACCUUACCUAGGCUUGACAUGCUUUUGACAGUUGUAGAAAUACAAUCUUCUUUACUUUGUAAAGACAAUUGCACAGGUGCUGCAUGGUUGUCGUCAGCUCGUGUCGUGAGAUGUUGGGUUAAGUCCUUUAACGAGCGCAACCCUUGCCGAUAGUUGCUAUUUGUUUACAAAGCACUCUAUUGGGACUGCCUGGGAAACCA
rnacentral:rRNA from 1 species